UCUCUUUCUCUCUAUAUUUGGGGCUUAAUAGUUCUUCUACUUCAAGAACAGCAAAACAAAUAAAACUAAGAACAUCCAGAAACCAAUUUCACCAUCAAUAACAAAAAAGAAUACCCAUUUCAACAAGUAGAAUAGAAAUAUAUCCGAACCCACAGGUUUUUUGCUCGUUCAAAUCCACAAUUUCCUCUUUAUUCUUUUUCACAUUUUCCACUAAACCAACCACCAAGAAAAAAUGCAGCGCCUUCAGAGGGCCAGGAUGCACGGCAGGUGCCAUCCAACAAGUGUUGGUGCCGACGGUCAUAUGAUCAUCAGCUGAGUCAAAAGGGAAAAGGGUAAAAGAACAAAAAGAAUCAACAACAUCAAAGGCAACCGGAUAGACACCCAGCUUCAACUUUCGUUCAUUUUCUUGUUCCCAUGUUUUACCAUUUUAUUUUUAUUUUGAAAGUGGGUCACUUAUUCUUAUAAAAUUGAACAACAAAUUUUGGCUGCAUGGUUAGACAGCACUCGGGUUUUCUUUUUCUUUUUUAAUUUUAAUUUCAGAAUUCUAUAUUUUUGCUUUCUAAAGAAAAUGAAACUGUUAUGAAUUUUGAGAAAGAAGGAAUAAAAUGAUAAUAAUAAUAAUUAAAUAUAUGCUUAUGAUAUCAAGAUUAAUUAUGUGCGAGUUGUUUUCCUUCUUAUGCAUUGUGGUUGUUGACUAAGAUUUAACUGUUGUUAUACAUGAUAGUCGAGCCAUACUGCAUUUCUUUCUUUUUCUUUUCUAUGUCUCAUUCUCACUCCGGACAAUUGUUCAACUAUUUUAUGGUUUGCCAUAUACUUUUGAUUGUCUUCUUAGUUACCAUCUAUGAAAUCUUUUAAGAGUUGUUAAAAAAAACCUUAUUUUAAGGCUUGCUUUCAUGUUACUUGCAUGCCUUGAUGCUAUAAGCACUUAGUGCAAUGCUAUUUGCACGUCUUUUUCUCUGUUUCUUUUUCUCCUUAUAUAAGUAUCUAAAAUUUAUGUAUUUAUGAAUGAACACCGUCUAUUUAGGGGUUUAUAAUAUAGUAAAAACGUUAUUUUAUAAGUUUUUGCGCCAAAUAUACAUUAAGAGUUUAAUUGCUCUUCACUCAAAACGUUAGGGCUAUAUUUGCACCUUUUCCUUUUCUUCUUUCAUCUCCUCUUCUACAUCAUGACUAAAAAAACAGACAAGGUUACUUCUGACAGUAAAAAGCCAUUCAUGGUGACUGUUCAUGAGACUUCUGUUCCAACAAUUUCUAUUAAGUUGGAUGAUACAAAUUAUUGUGUUUGGUACCAGGUUAUGGAGAUGCAUAUUGCUGGCAGAAGGAAGAAGGGAUAUAUCAUUGGAAGGAAGGCUGCACCUGCAGAAAAUGACCCAAGCUACAAUGAAUGGGAGGCAGAAGACACGCUGGUCAAGUCUUGGCUCAUCAAUUCCAUGACUGAGAAGCUAAUGGCAUAUUUUAUGCAGUAUGAAACAAUUAAGGAGGUUUGAGAUGCAGUGAGGAGGAGCUAUCUCAAUGUCUCAGAUUCUUCUUAAAUAUAUGAACUAAUAAAGAGAUCAUUCUAGUCAAGGCAAGGAGGUCAUCCUCUUACAGAUUAUUAUAACCGGCUAUACUACAUUUUCUUGGAACUUGAUUAUCACAGGCCCAAUGAUAUCGGAUGCCUAACUGAUAUUGAGAAACUGAGGAAACGUACUAGUGGGAUCGUGUUUAUAUGUUACAUACAAGCCUUGAUCACAAUUUGGAUCAAGUGAGUGCUCGAAUCUUGGCUUCUUCUACUAUACCAAUUCUAAAGGAAGCAUAUUCACAUCGUGAGGCACAAAGACAGGCCACUGUGGGGUUAGAAAAUCAUCUUGAGGCUUUUGCAAUCCUGUCUAAAAGAACAAUACUCGACCAACACCUUUUUGUACUCACUACAAUAGACCAAACAUAUAGUAGAUGUUUGUUGGAAGAAGCAUGGUUAUCUGAAGUGGUUCAAACUAAAAGAAGCAAAAAGGAAGAAUAAGAAAUCAUCCCAAGCUGCUCACAAUGACUCUCCUUUACCUACUACUUCUUCUGCAUCUCAGGUUUCUUGUGCAUCUCCUCAAGAAGGAUAAUCUUACGAAGAUGACGAUUGGCAUUGGUAAGAAGAGCAUAGGUCUCUACUACUUGCAAAGGAUAAGGGAGUUAUAACCUAAAACUGAUUGUGUCUUUCAAGGAGUAAAUUGCACAACUGGUACAAAACCUUGGGACUGUAUAUCAAUUUGAUACCAAGAUUUUAAUUUGAAUCAAAAUGGUACCAAAAGUACAAAAAAGUAUAUCAAUUUAGUCCAAGUGUCCAAUUUUCGACAACGGAUGGUGACAUGGAAAGCUGAGGAGACAAAGUUAAUUGAUGUGGCACACGCUGAGAGGGCGAAACAAUCGGAAUAUACCUCCUCAGCUUGCCACGUCACCAUCCGUUAUCGGAAAUUAGACAUUUGGACUAAAUUGAUAUACUUUUCUGUACUUUUGGUACUAUUUUGAUUCAAAUUAAAGUCUUGGUAUCAAAUUAAUAUAUAGUCCCAAGGUUUGGUACUAGCUGGGCAAUUUACCCGUCUUUCAAGUGACUAGGGAGACAGUCAAUAAAGACAAAAUUGGUUUUUGGCAUUGUAGGUUUGAGUCAUCCAUCUUUUUCUUAUCAAGAACAUUUAUUUCCUAAGCUAUUUAAAAAUGUUUCAGUUUCUAGUUUAUGGUGUGAACAAUGCAUUUAUGCUAAGAGUCAUCGUGUGAUUUUUAAAACAAGUCUCAGUAAAAGUCAAAUUCCUUUUACCUGAGUUUUUACA